rnacentral:rRNA from 1 species
AGAGUUUGAUCCUGGCUCAGGACGAACGCUGGCGGCGCGCCUAACACAUGCAAGUCGAACGGAGUUGUGUUGAAAGCUUGCUGGAUAUACAACUUAGUGGCGGACGGGUGAGUAACACGUGAGUAACCUGCCUUUCAGAGUGGAAUAACGUUUGGAAACGAACGCUAAUACCGCAUAACAUGAAAGAACGGCAUCGUUCUUUCAUCAAAGAUUUUAUCGCUGAGAGAUGGGCUCGCGGCCGAUUAGGUAGUUGGUGAGAUAACAGCCCACCAAGCCGACGAUCGGUAGCCGG